rnacentral:lncRNA from 1 species
GCCCGUAGUAAUUUUGACAUGCAUUUUUCUAAGAACAUAAGUGCUGAGUUCAUGCUGGUCAGCCAGGAGCUUAGUUCAGGUUUGUUUGUUUGUUUGUUUGUUUGUUUGUUUGAUCUGAAGGUGUGGCCAUGCCUGGCUUUUUACAUAAGCAAUAGAGGUUUAAACUCAGGCCCUCAGCUGGUACAGCAGACGCAUCCGUCUCACCCACACGUGCACGUCAUUUUCUUAAGGCACCGUUUACUCAGCCCUAGUUACAUAAUGUGGAGAUUGUUUUGUUUGAAUCAUAAAAUAUUUUUCCCACAGGGCAGAUGCUCUGCUGUGCCUUUGGAGUUCCUAUACUCAAGUCAUCUGCUCCUGUUAUUUGCAUCUUGAAUUUGCCACUGAGACCUGUGUGUUGAGUACUCGGUCCCCAGUCCGUGGCGCUCCUGAAAGGAGGUAGAAACUGUGGAGGGUGGGAGUUUAUGUGAGAAACCCAAAUGAAAGCUUCACUGAAAUCGCAUCUCACCCCAGUCAGAAUGGCUAUCCUGAAGAACGGAAGCCUUUCUCCUGUCUGCAAGCACAACAGAGUGGGAUUAAUAG